rnacentral:lncRNA from 1 species
GCGGCCGCCCGGAGCCCAGCGCCUCGCAACUUUGCCCGGGCUCCGAGCGUCGCGGGGCGCGUUCUCCGACACGGAGAAUUCGUGUGAGCCGACUGGCCUCGACCUGACCUGCCCCUCGUAGGACAACAAGCAAAACCGCUGGUGCAGGGUUUGCGAGUAGCUGGUUGCGUCCGCCGGGACCCGACAGACCCGGCAGGCCCAGAAAACUCCGGGACUGUCUGGGGAACGCGCCCGGCCCAUCUCGGCUGGGGCGCUCGGAGCUGGGAGAGGGCACAGAGCCUCCACCCAGGCGGGAGCAUCCCAGAGCCCGAGGUGCGGAGCAGCAUGGAGGGCCCGAGGCGGGCGGCGCCAGUGCCGGAGUCUACCCA